GGCGCCACCGGCCUGGGGGACUUGGGGCCCAUCACCGGCUUGGAGGAGGCGUAGAGGUGGCGGAGCUCCUCGUCAAACAGCUCCACCGCGGCGCCUGUGAACUUGGAGAGGAUGUUCCUGUGGACGUGUCCGCAGAGCCAGAACCCCCGGAGGGCCACCUUGGUACCCCCUUCACGGAUGGCAAGACCGUGGCGCAGAAGCCAGCAAAUGUUUGCAGCCCAGCCCAGCCUGCAGAGUCCCUGCUCUUUGAGGCACGGUGGGGCCCAAGCAAGGCUGGGCCAAUCCUGGGAAGAACAAUGAAGCUUUGUUUACACCUCACCUCCCACCCAGGAGCCACCCACACACCCCAGAGAGGAGCAGUGACAAGCAUGGAAGGAUUUUAAGGAUGCAAGUGAUCUGAUCUGGUUUGUGUUUAAAAAUCUUUCUGUUCCAGGUAGAGAAAGCUCAGAGAUGGAAGUGUGGGUCAGGGCAGGAAAGGAAUCAGGGCCAGUUAGGUUCUCAUGCUGUGCCCACCAAGGCCCAACCCCAAAGGCACCAACCUCCUGUACCUGCCAGCAGAAGCCGGAGCUCCCUCCUGGUUGGCCCCAGGGCAACUUCUUAGCUCAUGCUGAUCUUAGAGCACACACCACACCGCUCUGUGGCCGUUUACCCAUGUUGCUUGACAACAGAGACAAGCUUUGUGUCCCCCGCACCUGGCGUGGUGCCUAUGCUGGGAGACAACCCUGAGAGACCCGGGGAGAAGCAUCGUCCUCAAGGCUGGCAAGCAGAUCACCUUUGACUGCUGAGUGCAAACCAGGUUAUAGUUGUCCUGCCCUCUCUCCGGGAGCUGGAUUCUUCAGUUCUUGGGAAUGGCCCUGCAUGUCUUCAAGCCCGCCGGCCCCCGCCUCCUGGCACCUCUCCUAUCAGGAUGACAAGCCCAGAAGACGCUGGAGAGCUGGGGAUCCUCGUCAAGGAAGCUGGUGGCCCUGGGUCAAUCACCUACCCUCUCCGUGCCUCAGUUCCCCCAUCUGUCCAUUGGAAGAAUAAUGCUUCCCUCAAAGGGUUGUCAUGAUUAAAUCCUUCCUAAAGGUCUAAUCACACCUGGCCUAGGGCCUGACACAAAGCUCAACAAGCAAUCUCUACACCCAGCAUGGGGCUUGAAGUCACAACCCCAAGAUCAAGAGUCACAUGCUCUACCGACUAAGCCCGCCACGACUGGCUGUUGUUUAUCUCCUUGGUUUGAAUGGGAGCUCCAGAGCCGCACCCCAGCCUUGAAGCAUGCCUGGAACCUGCUGCCCCAGCCCUCAGCCAGAACCCUUGGGAGGCUGGAGAAAUGAAAAGAAGAAGGAAGUCAGCGGGGAGUUGGGUUCAGUCCAAGAGGAUCAGCUUCCCGUCAGGGCUGACUCGUGGAUGCUGCCCUGGCCUGUGAAGUGAGGCCACGGGGUUUCUUCAGCCAAGAGGACAAAAGGCAUGUGCAGCAGAGAUUGCUGCUCACGAGACACCCAAGGGCCCCCUUCAGUUCCCAGCUCCCGUGUAUCUUCAUGAGGCUGUAAGCAGGAGGGAAGGCAAUCUCUUCCAGGUCAGGUCCUGCACAUCCCUCUGCUCUCUCCCUACCACUGCCAUCUGGGAGGCCAUGUACUCCUUAUGGUGUAGCUACAGGAUGAGGGAGGGCUGUCUGUCCUACGCUGGACUUUGAGCAAGAAAUAAACCUUUA